rnacentral:rRNA from 1 species
AGAUUAAACAAUCAAGAGCGCAGGGUGGAUGCCUUGGCACUAAGAGCCGAAGAAAGACGUGAUAAGCUGCGAAAAGCUUUGGGGAGCUGCAAAUAAGCAUUGAUCCAGAGAUAUCUGAAUGGGGAAACCCGGCUGGAAAGACUCCAGUCAUCCAUACGCCAAUACAUAACGUAUGGAAGGGAACCCGGUGAACUGAAACAUCUAAGUAGCCGGAGGAAGAGAAAGAAAAAUCGAUUUCCAAAGUAGCGGCGAGCGAAAUGGAAAGAGGGCAAACCGAGAUGCGUGCAUUUCGGGGUUCGGACCGCAUAAUUGAUUCAAGAGUUUUAGCAGAAUGGUUUUGGGAAAGCCAGCCAAAGAGAGUGAAAGCCUCGUAAGCGAAAAGAUAAUUGACAUGGCGGUAUCCAGAGUAGGACGAGACACGUGAAACCUUGUCUGAACGCGCGGGGACCACCCCGUAACCCUAAAUACUUCUUAGUGACCGAUAGCGCAUAGUACUGUGAAGGAAAGGUGAAAAGAACCCCGGGAGGGGAGUGAAAGAGAACCUGAAACCCUGUGUUUACAAGCUGUCGAACCUCUUUAUAUGAGGAACGGCGUACUUUUUGUAGAACGGUCCGGCGAGUUACGAUUACUGGCAAGGUUAAGCACUAAAGGUGUGGAGCCGAAGGGAUACCAAGUCUGAAUAGGGCGAAUAGUCAGUGAUUGUAGACCCGAAACCGGGUGACCUAUCCAUGUCCAGGCUGAAGUUUCCGUAAAAGGAAAUGGAGGGCCGAAGCCACAUCCGUUGAAAAGGGUGGGCAUGAGGUGUGGAUAGCGGAGAAAUUCCAAUCGAACCCGGAGAUAGCUGGUUCUCCUCGAAAUAGCUUUAGGGCUAGCCUCGUAUUAGACUACUGGAGGUAGAGCACUGAAUUCUUAAGGGGGCGUCAAAGCUUACCAAGAGAUAUCAAACUCCGAAUGCCAGAUAGCCGAUGUACGGGAGUCAGACUAUACGAGAUAAGUUGGAUAGUCAAAAGGGAAACAGCCCAGACCUACAGCUAAGGUCCCAAAGUGUGUGUUAAGUGGUAAAGGAUGUGGGAUUUCAUAGACAACUAGGAUGUUGGCUCAGAAGCAGCCAUACAUUCAAAGAGUGCGUAACAGCUCACUAGUCGAGAGGUCCUGCGCCGAAAAUGUCCGGGGCUAAAACACAACACCGAAGCUUAGGAUUCAUACCUAGUAUGAGUGGUAGAGGAGCAUUCUUGCAACCGACGAAGCUGUACUGUAAAGAGCAGUGGAGGAACAAGAAGAGAGAAUGCCGGAAUGAGUAGCGAGAUGAAGGUGAGAAUCCUUCAGGCCGAAUAUCUAAGGUUUCCAGAGUAAAGCUGAUCUGCUCUGGGUAAGUCGGGGCCUAAGGCGAGGUCGAAAGACGUAGUCGAUGGAUAACAGGUUGAGAUUCCUGUACUGCAAUAAAUCAGAACUGUGGGGACGCAUGGACAAAGCUUAAGCCAGGAAUGGAAAUACUGGUGCAAGCGAGGUAGAGGAUUAGUUGGCAAAUCCGCUAAUCAACUCAAAGACGUGAUGCGGAGCGAAAUUAAAGUAGCGAAGUAAGUAGAGUCUGUGCCGAGAAAAGCCGCUAUUGUAUUUAUUGUACCCGUACCGUAAACCGACACAGGUGGAUGAGGAGAGAAUCCUAAGGCCGACGGAAGAAGCAUUGUUAAGGAAUUCGGCAAAAUGACCCCGUAACUUCGGGAGAAGGGGUGCCUGAUUAACGUCAGGCCGCAGAGAAUAGGCUCAAGCAACUGUUUAGCAAAAACACAGGUCUAUGCGAAACCGUAAGGUGAUGUAUAUGGGCUGACGCCUGCCCGGUGCUGGAAGGUUAAGAGGAGAGGUUAGCGCAAGCGAAGCUUUGAAUUUAAGCCCCAGUAAACGGCGGCCGUAACUAUAACGGUCCUAAGGUAGCGAAAUUCCUUGUCGGGUAAGUUCCGACCCGCACGAAAGGCGUAAUGAUUUGAGCACUGUCUCGACAAUGCAUCCGGUGAAAUUGAAGUACCAGUGAAGAUGCUGGUUACCCGCGCCAGGACGGAAAGACCCCAUGGAGCUUUACUCCAGUUUGGUACUGGGAUUCGGUACUGCAUGUACAGGAUAGGUGGGAGACUAAGAUUAUGGGACGCCAGUUUCAUAUGAGUCACUGUUGGGAUACCACCCUUGUAGUAUUGGAUUUCUAACCAGCCGCCGUUAUCCGGUGGUGGGACAAUGCCAGGCGGGGAGUUUGACUGGGGCGGUCGCCUCCGAAAGGGUAUCGGAGGCGCUCAAAGGUUCCCUCAGAAUGGUCGGAAACCAUUUGAAGAGUGCAAAGGCAGAAGGGAGCUUGACUGCGACACCGACGGGUGGAGCAGGUACGAAAGUAGGACUUAGUGAUCCGGUGGUAUAAAGUGGGAUUGCCAUCGCUCAACGGAUAAAAGCUACCCUGGGGAUAACAGGCUUAUCACUCCCAAGAGUUCACAUCGACGGAGUGGUUUGGCACCUCGAUGUCGGCUCAUCGCAUCCUGGGGCUGUAGCAGGUCCCAAGGGUUGGGCUGUUCGCCCAUUAAAGCGGUACGCGAGCUGGGUUCAGAACGUCGUGAGACAGUUCGGUCCCUAUCCGGCGCGGGCGGAGGAUAUUUGAGAGGAGCUGCCCCUAGUACGAGAGGACCGGGGUGGACGGACCACUGGUGUAUCAGCUGUCGACCAACGGCAUAGCUGAGUAGCCAAGUCUGGACGGGAUAAACGCUGAAGGCAUCUAAGCGUGAAGCCCCCCUCAAGAUGAGAUAUCCCCUCCUUCAAGGAGAUAAGAUCCCUUAAAGACGAUAAGGUAGAUAGGUUCAAGGUGUAAGUGUGGUAACACAUUCAGCUGAUGAAUACUAAUAGAUCGAAGGUUUAUUCUAAA